AUCGAACGCUGGCGGCAGGCCUAACACAUGCAAGUCGAACGAGUGGCGGACGGGUGAGUAAUGUCUGGGAACCUGCCCGAUGGAGGGGGAUAACUACUGGAAACGGUAGCUAAUACCGCAUACCAUCGGAUGUGCCCAGAUGGGAUUAGCUAGUAGGUGGGGUAACGGCUCACCUAGGCGACGCUCCCUAGCUGGUCUGAGAGGAUGACCAGCCACACUGGGACUGAGACACGGUCCAGACUCCUACGGGAGGCAGCAGUGGGGAAUAUUGCACAAUGGGCGCAAGCCUGAUGCAGCCAUGCCGCGUGUAUGAAGAAGGCCUUCGGGUUGUAAAGUACUUUCAGCGAGGAAGCGUUACUCGCAGAAGAAGCACCGGCUAACUCCGUGCCAGCAGCCGCGGUAAUUC
rnacentral:rRNA from 1 species